rnacentral:misc_RNA from 1 species
AAGUCGUAACAAGGUCUCCGUUGGUGAACCAGCGGAGGGAUCAUUACAGAGUUGCAAAACUCCCAACCCUUUGUGAACGAACCUAACAGUUGCUUCGGCGGAAGGCUCUUUACUAAGCGGCCCGCCGGAGGUCUAUAAACUCUUGUUUUUUGGCAUAUCUGAGUAGCUUUAUAAAUAAGUUAAAACUUUCAACAACGGAUCUCUUGGUUCUG